UCUUCCUUAAAAAACUAUGCAAGCUCAAAUAUUUGUUUUUUGCUUCUGCUGCAGUUGUUCUACUACCUACAAAACAUCAAAUAAUCCAGAGAAAUAAAGUAAUCAUUUUGUUUACAAGCCGUACAUCCAUACUGACUUCUUUUAUUUCAAAAUGAGGCUUUUGUUUUGUACUCUAUUUUCUGAAUGGUAUCGUAGUUUUUUACGAGUUUCCUGGAUUUUCUUCGUAGUAGCACCAUUUAAGGUGUUAUGAUGCAUUCAUACCCUUACAUCAUGCUUGCCGUUUCUUCAUAACUCACAUGGCAACAACAGGUUGAUAUCCGGAAUUCUUAUUUUCUUAUAUAUUACGUAUUUAACUUGGCUUGUCAUUUGGUGGUGCUUACACAAUGGUGGCAUGCCUAUUGAUUCAAGAUUUCAUGUGAUUAGACAAAAAAAUUUAUGUAGAUUGGAGACAAAUUUCUAUAUCUCAAUUGAAUAAUCCAUGGUGAACAGAUUUAUAGUAUAUUAGAUUAGCGAUAAAAUCUUCAGAAUGAUACCUUCUUCCUGCUGAUGUUAAUUUUCUGCAUUACCAAUUCAAGUGACAGGUACGGAUUCUCAGAGAACAAAAGCAACUGGGGGAAUCACAUUGAGCAUGUAAAAAAAACUGAAAAGGUAGCUGGGGGAAUCAAUAUCAGGUCUUCUUUAUCGAACGAGCCGUGGACAAAGAACAACAAUAGGCUGAACUGGAGGCUGGUUUCAGUGGGGUUUGAUCGCCGAUUUUUCUUCAGUGCUGUACCUGCAUAUUGUUGUCAACAAUAGGUCUAUCUAUACAUUCGGCAAUUCUGAGUGGUACAAGUUGAAGAAGUUCAAUCUAUAUAUACUGGACUUUAAUACUUGUGUUUCUUUCAUCAGUAUUCGCAUCACCAAUGAAGGCAUCCUUUAAUAAUAGGUCAGGAGCGAUGAGAUUUCACAAA